CCUACGGGUGGCAGCAGUGAGGAAUAUUGGUCAAUGGACGAAAGUCUGAACCAGCCAAGCCGCGUGAAGGAUGACUGCCCUAUGGGUUGUAAACUUCUUUUAUAUGGGAAUAAAAUGUUCCACGUGUGGGAUUUUGUAUGUAACCUAUGACUAAGGAUCGGCUAACUCCGUGCCAGCAGCCGCGGUAAUACGGAGGAUCCGAGCGUUAUCCGGAUUUAUUGGGUUUAAAGGGAGCGUAGGUGGAUGGUUAAGUAAUUGGUGAAAGUUUGCGGCUCAACCGUAAAAUUGCCUUUGAAACUGGCAGGCUUGAGUACAGGAGAGGUGGGCGGAAUUCGUGGUGUAGCGGUGAAAUGCUUAGAUAUCAUGAAGAACACCGAUUGCGAAGGCAGCUCACUGGACUGCAACUGACACUGAGGCUCGAAAGUGUGGGUAGCAAACAGGAUUAGAUACCCCUGUAGUC
rnacentral:rRNA from 1 species